rnacentral:rRNA from 1 species
AGCAGCCGCGGUAAUUCCAGCUCCAAUAGCGUAUAUUAAAGUCGUUGCAGUUAAAAAGCUCGUAGUUGAAUUUCGGGGUUAGCAGGUCGGUCGUGCCAUCGGUAUGAACUGGUCUCGCUGAUCCCUCCCUCUUGACGAACUGUGAUGCCAUUAAUUUGGUGUCGCAGGGAAUCAGGACUGUUACUUUGAAAAAAUUAGAGUGUUUAAAGCAGGCUCACGCUUGAAUACAUUAGCAUGGAAUAAUGAAAUAGGACGUUUGAUCCUAUUUUGUUGGCUUCUAGGAUUGACGUAAUGAUUAAUAGGGAUAGUUGGGGGCAUUAGUAUUCAAUUGUCAGAGGUGAAAUUCUUGGAUUUAUUGAAGACUAACUACUGCGAAAGCAUUUGCCAAGGAUGUUUUCAUUAAUCAAGAACGAAAGUUAGGGGAUCGAAGACGAUCAGAUACCGUCGUAGUCUUAACCAUAAACUAUGCCGACUAGGGAUCGGAUGAUGUUAAUUUUUUAAUGACUCAUUCGGCGCCUUA